UUGAACGCUGGCGGCAUGCUUUACACCUGCAAGUCGAACGGCAGCGCGGGCUUCGGCCUGGCGGCGAGUGGCGAACGGGUGAGUAAUACAUCGGAACGUGCCCAGUAGUGGGGGAUAGCUCGGCGAAAGCCGGAUUAAUACCGCAUACGACCUGAGGGUGAAAGCGGGGGAUCUUCGGACCUCGCGCUAUUGGAGCGGCCGAUGGCAGAUUAGCUAGUUGGUGGGGUAAAGGCCUACCAAGGCGACGAUCUGUAGCUGGUCUGAGAGGACGACCAGCCACACUGGGACUGAGACACGGCCCAGACUCCUACGGGAGGCAGCAGUGGGGAAUUUUGGACAAUGGGCGAAAGCCUGAUCCAGCAAUGCCGCGUGUGUGAUGAAGGCCUUCGGGUUGUAAAGCACUUUUGGCGGGAACGAAAAGGACUGUGCCAAUACCACGGUUCGAUGACGGUACCCGCAGAAUAAGCACCGGCUAACUACGU
rnacentral:rRNA from 1 species